rnacentral:rRNA from 1 species
AGUGAACGCUGGCGGUAGGCCUAACACAUGCAAGUCGAACGGCAGCACAGUAAGAGCUUGCUCUUACGGGUGGCGAGUGGCGGACGGGUGAGGAAUACAUCGGAAUCUACUUUUUCGUGGGGGAUAACGUAGGGAAACUUACGCUAAUACCGCAUACGACCUACGGGUGAAAGCAGGGGAUCUUCGGACCUUGCGCGAUUGGAUGAGCCGAUGUCGGAUUAGCUAGUUGGCGGGGUAAAGGCCCACCAAGGCGACGAUCCGUAGCUGGUCUGAGAGGAUGAUCAGCCACACUGGAACUGAGACACGGUCCAGACUCCUACGGGAGGCAGCAGUGGGGAAUAUUGGACAAUGGGCGCAAGCCUGAUCCAGCCAUACCGCGUGGGUGAAGAAGGCCUUCGGGUUGUAAAGCCCUUUUGUUGGGAAAGAAAAGCAGCAGGUUAAUACCCCACUGUUCUGACGGUACCCAAAGAAUAAGCACCGGCUAACUUCGUG